AUGGCGAUAGCGCUAGCGCAAACAAGCCGCGCGAAUCUGGGCCUCCGCCUCAAUCAUGGCGCUGUAGUGGCCUCACCUUCUUGGAAGCUUUACCACAACCCUCACUACUUCUCACCUCGCGGCGACUCCUCCGGCCCCUCUCGCAGAUCCCCUUCUUGCCCAGAGCACCGCAGACCUAUGAUCGUGGCGAAUUUCGACGAAGACGACGGCGGCGGCGGCAUGGAGCGGCAGCUGGGGUACGGCGACGGGGGCGCGACGUCGGUGCCGGAGCUCCUGGCGCGGGUCGAGGAGCUCGCGGCGGAGCUCGAGUUCGAGAGGCGCAUGCGACGCAAGGUUGAGGCGCUCAACGAGGCGCUCGCCGCCGAGCUCGCCGAGGAGCGGCGCCGGGUCGAGGCGGAGCGCGCGAGGAUGCGGGAGGAGCUCGACGAGGAGCGGCGGAUGCUGCGCGUCGCGGAGCUGUGGCGGGAGGAGAGGGUGCGGAUGAAGCUCGCCGACGCCCGGGCCGCCGUCGAGGAGAAGCUGCGGGAGGUCGCCGACGCCGGGCAGCGUGCUGCCGAUGCCACCGCCGCUGCCGAAGGCUGCAGCUGCAGGAGCGGCAGCCCGAUCGGCGGCAAGGCAAGCCCGGCCAGUGUUGGGCAGCAAAGCCCAGCGAGCAGUCGGCACGGCCAACAAAGCCCGGCGAGCGGUCAGCACUCCCAAUCGCACCGGCGAGAAGUCACUGGCGGCGAGAACCCUCACAUCAGGAGGGGGAUCAAGGGGUCCGUGGAGUUCCCGAGGGCCGUCCGUGUGCGGCCGCGCGGCGAGGAGCGCGUGGAUCUGGUGUCCAACAUCGAGUGCCAACGGGCGCAGCUGCGCGUCCUCAUGCGGCACCGGAGUCCCGCCACCGCCGGCAUGCCGGGCCUCGUCGGCGCGGCGCCGGACAACCUCGUCGUGUAA
rnacentral:rRNA from 1 species